rnacentral:rRNA from 1 species
AGUGAACGCUGGCGGUAGGCCUAACACAUGCAAGUCGAACGGCAGCACAGUAAGAGCUUGCUCUUACGGGUGGCGAGUGGCGGACGGGUGAGGAAUACAUCGGAAUCUACUUUUUCGUGGGGGAUAACGUAGGGAAACUGACGCUAAUACCGCAUACGACCUACGGGUGAAAGCAGGGGAUCUGCGGACCUUUCGCGAUGGAAUGAGCCGAUGUCGGAUUAGCUAGUUGGCGGGGUAAAGGCCCACCAAGGCGACGAUCCGUAGCUGGUCUGAGAGGAUGAUCAGCCACACUGGAACUGAGACACGGUCCAGAAUACUACGGGAGGCAGCAGUGGGGAAUAUUGGACAAUGGGCGCAAGACUGAUCCAGCCAUAACGCGUGGGUGAAGAAGGCCUUCGGGUUGUAAAGCCCUUUUGUUGGGAAAGAAAAGCAGCAGGUUAAUACCCCGCUGUUCUGACGGUACCCAAAGAAUAAGCACCGGCUAACUUCGUG